rnacentral:rRNA from 1 species
UACAGAGGGUGCGAGCGUUAAUCGGAAUUACUGGGCGUAAAGCGUGCGCAGGCGGUUCUGAAAGUCAGCUGUGAAAGCCCCGGGCUUAACCUGGGAAUUGCGGUUGAAACUACAGGGCUAGAAUCUGGCAGAGGGGGGUGGAAUUCCACGUGUAGCAGUGAAAUGCGUAGAGAUGUGGAGGAACACCGAUGGCGAAGGCAGCCCCCUGGGCUGAGAUUGACGCUCAGGCACGAAAGCGUGGGGAGCAAACAGG